rnacentral:rRNA from 1 species
UACGUAGGGUGCGAGCGUUAAUCGGAAUUACUGGGCGUAAAGCGUGCGCAGGCGGUGAUGUAAGACCGAUGUGAAAUCCCCGGGCUUAACCUGGGAACUGCAUUUGUGACUGCAUUGCUGGAGUGCGGCAGAGGGGGAUGGAAUUCCGCGUGUAGCAGUGAAAUGCGUAGAUAUGCGGAGGAACACCGAUGGCGAAGGCAAUCCCCUGGGCCUGCACUGACGCUCAUGCACGAAAGCGUGGGGAGCAAACAGG